AACGAACGCUGGCGGCAGGCCUAACACAUGCAAGUCGAACGCUCCGCAAGGGGAGUGGCAGACGGGUGAGUAACGCGUGGGAACCUACCUUACGGUCGGGAAUAGCCCAGGGAAACUUGAGCUAAUACCGUAUACGUCCGUGAGGAGAAAGUUUUAACGCCCCUAGACGGGCCCGCGUAGGAUUAGGUAGUUGGUGAGGUAACGGCUCACCAAGCCUACGAUCCUUAGCUGAUCUGAGAGGAUGAUCAGCCACACUGGGACUGAGACACGGCCCAGACUCCUACGGGAGGCAGCAGUGGGGAAUCUUGGACAAUGGGCGCAAGCCUGAUCCAGCCAUGCCGCGUGAGUGAAGAA
rnacentral:rRNA from 1 species